CUUGCGGCAAGCCCUAACACAUGCAAGUCGUAACAGGGUAACGCAAACAGCUUGCUCGUUUGCUGACGAGUGGCGGACGGGUGAGUAAUGUCUGGGAAACUGCCUGAUGGAGGGGGAUAACUACUGGAAACGGUGGCUAAUACCGCAUAACGUCGCAAGACCAAAGAGGGGGACCUUCGGGCCUCUUGCCAUCAGAUGGCCCAGAUGGGAUUAGCUUGUUGGUGAGGUAACGGCUCACCAAGGCGACGAUCCCUAGCUGGUCUGAGAGGAUGACCAGCCACACUGGAACUGAGACACGGUCCAGACUCCUACGGGAGGCAGCAGUGGGGAAUAUUGCACAAUGGGCGCAAGCCUGAUGCAGCCAUGCCGCGUGUAUGAAGAAGGCCUUCGGGUUGUAAAGUACUUUCAGCGGGGGAGGAAGGUGUUGUGGUUAAUAACCGCAGCAAUUGACGUUACCCGCAGAAGAAGCACCGGCUCCGUGCCAGCAGCCGCGGUAAUACGGAGGGUGCAAGCGUUAAUCGGAAUUACUGGGCGUAAAGCGCACGCAGGCGGUCUGUCAAGUCGGAUGUGAAAUCCCCGGGCUCAACCUGGGAACUGCAUUCGAAACUGGCAGCUUGAGUCUUGUAGAGGGGGGUAGAAUUCCAGGUGUAGCGGUGAAAAUGCGUACAGAUCUGGAGGAAUACCGGUGGCGAAAGCGGCCCCUGGACAAAAAACUGAC
rnacentral:rRNA from 1 species